rnacentral:lncRNA from 1 species
UAAAAUAAGGCUAAUUAUUUAUGUAUUUUGGAUUGAAUGAACCAUUUGAAUAAGAGAAAACAACCAUUUUACCCUUCUAUCUAAAAGUAAUGUAGAAUACCAAGUUGUUGUUAAUUUGUGAGAACUAUUGAAAUUUUAAACUAAAAAUCACUUUUAUAUAUACGACCAUGAGACUUACAUAUGUUUGUCAAAAACUACCAUAACUGUCUUUUGUCAAAGCAAACUUGCAGUGUAAUCUUACCAUUAUUUUCUACAGAUAGAGCAAAAUCCUUUUGGCUUUUGCAAUGCAUUGUUUCCCCAGACAACAAAUCAGAAUGCAAACGACUUGUUAUAUUCAGAAACAUUGAAUUAAACCCCAAUUUAACAAGGAUUCAUGCCUCUCAUACUCCCCUUGGGUUAUUAAACAACUUCUAUUUAUGUCUAAUUGAGACAAUUCUUCCAAUCCUAUGCAGAUUUAAUCUCCUACACAGAUUUAAUCUCCUACAUCAAUUACAAACACAACAGAGCCAUUAGCCGUAUAGCUUAACAACAAAAUAAGCAAAACUUAUACCUUUAUAAAUGAAGAUGAAUAAGAUCACUAUCAUGUUUCUUGUAAUUUGUUUAGUGAGUGAUAUAAAUUAGAGCUUACACCCUUGAUUACAGGGAAGGACAAAAGUGUGUGUAGAUACGAAAAACAUAACUCAAGACAAGGAAUGAAACAAUGAAGAUGUCACACCCCGAAAACCAAAGGCGGAAACAUUUCCGGGGUUGACUCCACGUUGAGUAUCAAAUCCAAUGUACAUAGUAAUCACAGUAAACAACCAUUACAUUACAUAUAUUUGAAAGUUUACAUUUGUUUCAAAAGUAAAUUGUACAAGUUUUAUACAUAUAUCAUAUGAACAAAAGUUGAGACGAGUCUUCUGAGCACUCUGUCUUCACCAAAAGAUAUCGCCGGGUACCUGUCUAACGUGGACCUGAGAAUACAAGCAGUUUGAAAAUCAGCAUAAAGCUGGUGAGUUCAUAAGCAGUUUUGUUUUGUGAAAAUGUACCAGUUUCCUUUAGUUUUUCCGAAAAGGUUUGUUAUCCAAGAAAAUCUCAUAUUUUCUUAUGUUAAACAGUUUAGUUAUCUUUCAUUACAGUUCAAUUACGCGUUAUACGAUACCCCAGGAAAAUCCCAUAUUUUCCUAAAUGCAAGACCGAUUGAAUAACACAGAGUAUAGUUUAAUACACAAAACUAUAUAUUGAGAAUCAUAGGAUUACUAUCCCGAAUUAGAUAUAAAAUACUUUAAUAUACACGAACUGUAGAUAGAAAGUAGUUUGAAAACCUUGGGACUAACAUCCCGAACUAGAUACAAGAUAGUUUGAUAUACUUGAAAAUAUAGAUUGAAAACCAUGGGAAUACCAUCCCGGACUAGAUACAAAAUAGUUUGUUAGAAACCAUGGGAUUACUAUCCCGAACUAGAUAUAUGAUAGUUUGAUAAAACCAUGGGAUCACUAUCCCGAAUUAGAUAUAAGAUUUUUUAAUAAAACCAUGGGAUCACUAUCCCGAACUAGAUAUAGAUUCUAACCAUAGGAAUAACAUCCUGCAAUAGAUAUGAACCCUGUAGACUAAAAACCAUGGGAUUACCAUCCCGAACUAGAUAUAAGAUCUAAAGAUAGAAGAUUGAUAUAAAAUCAAAUCCAAAACCAAAGCCGUGAAUAAACUUAUAUUAAUACGUAUUGUGAGUCGGGUAACCAUGCUGAUACAACAACGAGACCUCCUUGACGCUUGUCAGACGUCGGACGAUAUCCAGAAUUUGUCACCCCAGGCGUGCCCGCCUAACUGUAGCUAGCAGUUAAGGUGUGGGAUUGUCAGUCCCGAAUAGAUCUAUUCACAAAUUCCUCGCUCUCCCUCCAGGAGACUCUGGUUACACUUCCGGGGAGGAUUUACUGAUCAUCCAUAAAGGGUAGUGACUAACUCACAAACUAGUACUAAACUAUUAACAGGGUUCUCAUACGAUAUCAAACAUACAAAAGAUUAUGAAACAUAAUACAGUGAAUAUAGGUACAUACUAUGAAACUAUCUGACAAUACAUUCAAAUGAUACGGAGAUAAACUGAAUCAGACAUAGUUUAUCUAAUAACUUUAUAUACAUAUCAGUACAUGAUAAAACGAACACUAAAGAACCCCAAAUUAUUCCUAUAAUAAUUUGAUUAGUUUGAUUAUUUUCUUAACUAAAAUCCAUUUAGUUGUACUUGAUAAAUCAUCCCUUAUGCUCAGCAUAAUACAUAAAGGGUAAAAAUGUUUAUAAGUUUGCCAGAUAUUAUUUGAAACAUAUCAAUGUUAUAAUUCGAAAACACUUAUAGUUUGCUUGUAUUCCCCCCUGAAAACAUUGAAAAACACGGAAAAAGCGUAGGGGUAUGAACUCACCGGACGAGAAACAUGACGAUUUAGGAUGCUAAACGUUGGAUCGGGGCUUGCAAACGUACGAUAUUCCUAUGUAUAAUGAAAAGAUACACAUUUGUAUCUAAUUAGGACUUAGAUUAUUUAAUUGUUAGGGACAAACACUUUUAGUCGCGGAUACACCCCAUUACAAGUGUGUGGAAGGACUCGGGUGGCGUUUAAGGACUUGAAUGACCGGGAAAUGGAGUUUACUCUUCAAGAGUAAACUCAUACAAGAGUUUUCAGCCAAUAACACCCACUCCCCAUGAGUUUACGGCAGUAAACUCAUGGUGGGGUCAUUUGUGGGCAAAAUGGCUAUUGACACUUAAGGGGAAAAUUUCUAGGUUUGGUUUAAGGGCUUGGAAUAAAUUUUAAACACCAAAUGGACAUACUUAAGGGAGUUUACGGCCUAGCAUGGGACUCAUGGCCGUAAACUCCUAUAUACCCAUGAAUAAUUGUGUUAAUGAUUCCAAACAAAUCACAUGUGAUUGCUAAAAUUGUUCCAAGGCCUUACAUGAAUUUUUAUGGAACUUUUGAGGUGUUUUUGGAGUUUACGGCCCAUGAGACCCCCCUCAUGGCCGUAAACUCUCCUAGAGUGUGAUUCAUUAUGUUUUAAGGCCAAAAAACUUGUUUGUAUACACUUCUAAAAAUUAUUCUAAGGCUUUAGGGGUGUUAAAGUGGCUUUCUAACACCUUUGGAGGAGUUUACUCCCCAUAUUAUGGAGUUUACGGCCCAAGCAUAAGCCUUGGCCGUAAACUCUCAUUUGUCCCUCAAAAUAUAUGUUUAAGGCCCUUAAACCAUUUUUAGUUGGUUCUAUGAUUUAUUCCAAGGCUUUUGGUGAAGGUAUAUGACUUUAUAACAUGUUGAAAAUGAGUUUAUACUCAUGUUUGAGGGGUUUACGGCCCAAAGCAUGUGCCUUGGCCGUAAACUCCUUCAAAUCCCUCAAAAUCCAUGUCUAAAGUGUUCUAAGUCCAUUCCAUGAAGUCAUUUAGCCAUAUCUAAGUCCCAAAAUUGUUUAGGAGGGGUUUAAAGGCAUAAAAACCCCUUUACUAUGUGUUUACGGCCCAAGCUCCUUCCAGGGCCGUAAACUCAUAUACAAGGUCUUAAUUCAUGUUUUAAUCUCGAAUUUGAAGGCCAAAUAUGCUAUACAAUGAGUUUAGGAAGGUACCUUAGAGAUUUGAGGCCUUAAAAUUGAGUUUUGGACCCUUAAACUUAGAUUUAGGAGAGAGGUUAGAGAGAGAGUAGUGAGAGAGAGAAAAAGCUUCAAAUGAAAGGUUUAACACGUUUAUAUAGGUCGCAAAACUUGGACACGGUGGAAUUCUACCCGAUACCGGCAUUAAACGGGGCUUUUGGUCGCACCCGAUUAAGUUUCUGAGACUCGGCGGGGACGUUCCUAAUAUUUAUGAAAUACAUAUUUUAGGCUAAUUUCAUGAGUUCCUAAGGGGUUUGGACACUCAUUAGCAUCAAUUAAAUAUAUAUAAGUUAAAUUAACUUAACCCAAAAACGACAUCAGAAUGUUUCGAUAUACGACGAGUUAUACGGGUAGAACGGGGUUUUCGGCGAUGAACAACUUCGGGUUGUUACAGAAGAAAUAGUCACCUUCCGUUGAAGAACCUUGGCACUCUGUUCUUUCUCGUUAAAGCGAAGUAAUUGGGGCUUUCUUCAAGUUCAAAUUCAAACUUUCUUAUUAUGCUUCAGAUUCAGCUUCAGAAGCAGAAGCAGAAGAAGUAGCACCAGCAGAAGCAGAAGAAGUAGAAGCAGAAGUAGAAGCAGCAGCAAAAGCAGAAGCAGCAGAGGAAGAGGAAGAUGAAGAGGAAGAGGAAGAGGCAGCAGCGCCAGCAAAAGAAGAAGAAGAAGAAGUGACCUGUGACAGCUCACAUCCCGAUAAACUUAAAACAGAGAGUUUCCGGAGACUGAGAAUAACACCUACCCAAUGAUUUGUUUUGGCCAAUGAAAUCCCAUCCAUGUGAAGUUCCUCCAAAUGAGAUAGAUUAGACAACCACUCGAGGUUCUCAAAUCUACACCUUCCAGCAUAUGAAAGGAGAAGCCAUUGCAAGUUGGUGAGGUUUCCGAACUCUGGAGGAAUGGUUCCAUGAAAAGAGUUAGAUGAAAGGUCAAGGUACCAUAAUUCAGUCAAGGAACCAAUGGACCUGGGAAUGGUACCAUUAAGAUUAUUGCCGCCAAGGAGAAGGGACCUUAAAUGAGUCAACGAACCAAUGAAGGUGGGAAUGGUUCCAUGAAAAGAAUUUCCGGAAAGAUCAAGAUAGUUCAAGUAGGUUAAGUUAACCAAUGAAUGGCUAAUCUCACCUACAAGACCACAGGACAUCAGAUCAAGCUCUGUGACAUGACCACCUUUUUGGUUGUUGCACGUCACUCCACUCCAUUCACAGCAGUUGUCUUGUUCAGCUGUCCACGUAGAGAGACGAUCAUAUAAGGGUCUUGAAUGUGAGAUUUGAAAUGAAGGAGACCAUCUCUCUCCUUCUCAAAACACUUAUCAUCUCCUCCUCCCACUUCUGCGCGCCAAUUGGUUGGCAGUUGUAGUCUCAAGACAGAAGAAGAGAAGUGAGAAUAUUAUAAAAACACAAGGACUCAUGAUGUAAAUGCAAAUCUUGGUGAUUUUUUUUGUUUGUAUGGAUGAAAAUUUAAAGAUGCUCCAUGCAGCUUUAUAUAGUGCUGCAAACUGUGAAAAUGAAGGAUUCAGUAAUUCUCGUGAGAACGGUAGGAACAUAAUUCUUUUUUCCUUUUUUUUUCAUCAAUAUGAAAACAUUUUAUAAGGCUAAAAAAUAAUAAAUUCUGGGAUUUUUUUUAUUAAAAUAAAACACUAAAAAGAUGAAAAAUCAAUUCCAUAUUCAUCAAUGAAAUAAAAUGCGCUAUAAAACACAUCCUACAGCAACAACCAUAUAGAUGUCUAUUUAUAGGUCAUAAAAAGAUAUUAUGGUAUUUUUGUUUUUAUUUUUUAAAAAAAAAAUAAUGCCGUAAUAGAUAAAAAAAUUUAACAAUACUCCUCAAUGAAAACAUCAUAAUAAAAACUUUGUACAUCGAUAUGGAUGUAUAGCUGUACAACAUAAAAAUAUAUAAAUUUGGGUCUUUUGUUUUUUUUUCUUCGAAAAAUAAUAUUACCUUAAAAAAAAAUACUGAAAUUUAUUAUUUUUAUGCUCUAAAAAAAGAUAUCAAUAUAAAAGGUUCCUACCAUUUUUAACAAGAAUUAUCUUUCUUGCGUUUACACUUUAUACACACCUAGUGAGUUGUGAUUCGUGUGGAGCAUAAAAUCCUUAUUUUCCUUUGAAAUAGAACCAAAGUAUAAAAGAAAUUAGAAAAGACGAAUUGAAAUAAACUGCCCCAAAUCAAACGUUCAAAGAUUUAUACACUGUGUAAGGCAUAAAAGCCUUAUUUUCCUUGAAAUAGAACCAUUCAAACUAUAAAACAAAUUUAUAUUAAAAAAAAAAAAAAAAAAAAAAAAAGGACAAUUGUAAUGGAUAGCUAGCCCCAUAUUAGACUUUCAGGUCAUGGAAAUUUGUAUUUUUCCUAUACAUAUCUUUUUUCAUCUAGUCAUAUCUUUUGAUCCUCUCUUUAUGUCAUUGUAAAUUCACAAAAGCAAACCAAUCAUUCAGGAAAAAGGACAAAUGGUGGGUUAGUGCCUGGAAACAACCAUAUAUAGCUAGCUGUCCAGAUCAAGUGCUUAAUUAUUAAGCCUAUUAAGUCAUAAAGAAUCAGUCCCUAAUUGCAUAAGAGCUGAGUGAUAAAUGAUGAGUCUCCAGAGAAUGUAUUGGAUAAAAUAAGGCUAAUUAUUUAUGUAUUUUGGAUUGAAUGAACCAUUUGAAUAAGAGAAAACAACCAUUUUACCCUUCUAUCUAAAAGUAAUGUAGAAUACCAAGUUGUUGUUAAUUUGUGAGAACUAUUGAAAUUUUAAACUAAAAAUCACUUUUAUAUAUACGACCAUGAGACUUACAUAUGUUUGUCAAAAACUACCAUAACUGUCUUUUGUCAAAGCAAACUUGCAGUGUAAUCUUACCAUUAUUUUCUACAGAUAGAGCAAAAUCCUUUUGGCUUUUGCAAUGCAUUGUUUCCCCAGACAACAAAUCAGAAUGCAAACGACUUGUUAUAUUCAGAAACAUUGAAUUAAACCCCAAUUUAACAAGGAUUCAUGCCUCUCAUACUCCCCUUGGGUUAUUAAACAACUUCUAUUUAUGUCUAAUUGAGACAAUUCUUCCAAUCCUAUGCAGAUUUAAUCUCCUACACAGAUUUUUAUGAAACCAAUUAGAAAAGUUCCAACCUCCAACAUAAACAUUAACCCAGAAACAACUCUAAUUUAUGGAAUCUAUUAAAAAUUUGUCAAUUGAAACAAAAAGGCACCGUUUAACGUCAAAACUGAAAAUUAAUAAUAAUAAUAAUAUUAAAUGUGAGCAAGAGAAACAUUAUUCAACAGAAAAUGGAGAACAGAGAGUCGAGAAGAAAAAUCGAGAUUAAGAGAACAAAAAGAGAAUAGAUAUAUCGAGUAUUGAAUAGUUGAGAUGAUCCAACAACUUACCUGAUGGAAGACCGAGGGAGGAACGACGAAGACAUCUUGGAACAGUGAUGGAAGAUGGAGAAGAGAAGACGAAGUGAAGGCUGUAAAAACUGAAAAGAAAAGUAGGGUUAAAGGAGGACGAGGAUAAACGAGUAAAAAUCAAAUUCAUAAGCUAAAAGGGGAUAACAAAACCAAACCCACAAACCAAAAAAUCAAUAAUCAACUAGAAAUGUAACCCAUGCUAUGGACGGAGGCGUUUUAGAGCUGCAAAUGUUUUUUUUCUUUAUUUAUAUAAUGCAUGUUUGUUUUUGAAGAUGAAGUUUUUCUGUUAAUGUAAGACAAUUGAUAAAUUGAAAACCACAUCACAAUGUUAUUACAAAUGUAAAAUUGUAACUCUAAAAUAUUUAGAGUUUUCCCAAGAUAUUCUGAUGAUGGAGUAAUGAAUUUGAUACAAACCUUCAUCAAUCGGUACUAAUUCCCUGCAAGCUUUUUACUAUUUUCACCUAAGGGGUAAAAACAGAAAGAAAUCAACAUUAUUUGAUUCACAAUGAUUGCAAGUAUUUUUUUCAUUUAAUUAAGAAUGCAAAAUGUACUUGCUCAUCUUUACAAAUAUAACCUUUCAUCCACCUCGAAAAUGGCAAUAUUCAUAUUCUCAUGCAUUGCUACACUCCUUUCUUUUGAGUACCAAAAAUCAUACCUACCUAAAAUAUUUUCACUCUUCACCAACAUACCAUAGGGACAAAACCUAUAUCCCGUGCAAUUUUGGUCAAUCCUAAAAGUUGUUAGUAGAAAAUAAAUUUGUUUUAAAAGGAUAAAGAACAUGCUCCAUGAUUCAAAAUAAUGGAAUAGAAAUGAAAUUAGAGUCUAUAUACUUGGAUGGAAUGGAAUAAGCAAGGUUGCUUUGGUAGAAAUGGAACAAACUUACUUAAUAUAUAUUUUAAAGUUAAAGAUAAUAGAAGCUUACUAACCCAAAUAAGGUAUAACAAAAAUAAGAGUGAGCUACAAAUUUGGUACCUAUGGCUAUACUACAGUUAAAAUUGCAAAACUCGCCGGUUUUAAGAGCCCCUUUCUUUGUAUCUUGCAUGGUGUCCAUCGUUUUGAAACACUACAAAAUUUCACUGACAAACUAUUAGUAUUCAGUUCGGAUAAAGCUAAAGGAUAAAGCUAAAUCAGUUAAACAAACCCAUGAAUUAACUAACCCCUAAUCAAAAUCCUAAUACGCUGACUGUCGGCCAAAGCCUUCCUGCAAGCAUACUGAAAAAGAAAAAAAAAUCUUAAAGAUAGAAACUGAUACCAUUUCACUUCACAAUCCACUAUCAUCACUAUUAACAUAUAAAUUUGAAACCAAAUCAUAAAAGUAUUUCAUAGGAUUCACUUGUUCUUCAUCGAUCUGAUAUUACAAGUGCUUGUCGUCCAAAAAUCAUCAGAAAGAAUAGAUAUUUUCAUAGUUUUGCCUUGUACACAUAUCAUAAGUAAUGAACUCUCAAUGUACUUGAUGUAAAUUUGGACUUGAAAUAAUGUCACAAAAAGGGUAAGUGCAAUGUUAUUAUGUGAUAUUUAAGAAAGUAGAAUGCUAAUUUUCAACUUCAAAGAGCUAACUAAAAGUAAACACCAAAUUGGAUACAUACACAAAAUAUUACAUAAGAAUUGCAAUUGUUCCAUUUUAUUUCAAUCUUUCAGCUGUUUUGCAUUGUUCCAUGUCAAUGAAAUUGAUAAAUUUAGAUAUUUAAUACAUAAUUCAAAAUCAAGAAUUAUUAAAAUUAUUUAUAUUUUUAUACUGACACUUUAACCAUUUCUUGGAAAUGUGGAAACGUAGCUAUAACAGAUUAUAUGCUGGGGACACAAAUAUUGUCUUCUACUAAUAUAUUCUGGGAAAUUUAAUAAUUAGAAAAUAUGACUAUGGUACAUAUAAAGUGAUGUUCAAUGUAAAAAAAAAUGGUCGUUUCUAAUAAUUUACCUUUAUGGGGAAGUUGCUAACAGUAACAUUGAUACACACCAUUACACCUUAUGCAAAACAUAAGCUUGUUUGGGUCACCGGUCCUUUUACAUACCUGGGUUUUAGAAAAGAUAUGUAUACAAAUUAAAAAAGCAGCAUUUUUAUUAUAUUCAAAGUCCUUACCGGUAAUAUAGGCUAAAUACAAAACUCAAAAUCAAAAAACAACAUCAUGAACGCCUUAAAAGAGCUCAAAAAACAAUUAAAAUCUACAACCCCUGUGAUAAAUGAACUAACAACCUAGAUCAAUGGAUUUACCUUCGCAUUCCUGCAAGUGCCAAUACAUCGGACUUAUAAUUCUUUGCUACUUCAUAGUUACUCAGACAACCACCUAAAUCAUUAUAGCAAACCCUCCCUUCCGUUGAAACGGCUUCUAAAUCUAAGAAAAUUAGCACAGGAGCAAUCUUGACACCCAAAUAUUAGACAAUAGUUUUCUCAUCCAACACGCCAGAGAACAAAUUGGCUGCUAAAAACAAACCUUUUAAGGAUUAACAUAACAAACUUGUUAAAUUUUAGAAAACCUGACACAAAUACCUGGAGAAAAAAAAAAGCAUACAUCUAUAAAAAAUUUCUUGCUUCUUGCUUUCAAAAGACUGUUUGAGGGAGAUGGGGGGUCAAUUUUUCAUAGGGAAUAGCUCUGCGAGCUGCAAAAAGAAAAUGAAAACAUAAAAAUCAACAUGUUGACAUCAUAAAAUCCCGAAAUAAUCAUACCGAUAUAAUAAGAAUCUAGGUCAAUAGAGCAUAAAUCAUAAAUCGAUGACUUCAACAUAAAUCAGAUACAUAACUCCAAAAUAAGUACCGACGAUGUCAAUAGCGUAAGUCUGAAGAGUGCGGUUGAAUUAUGAUCGAUGAAUUUGAUCAGAACUUGAAGAGGAACCCACCGACAAAAAAAAAAAACUGUAUUAGAAUGCUUCAAAUUCAAUGAAUUGAGACAAUAAGUAUCUAGCCAGGAAGAUUAAAAAACAGAUAAAAUAAAUAAAAUGAAUCGACUUCUUGAAGAUGUUGAAAAUUACCAAAUUGGAACCCCGACUUCAAAUUAAAUCUGACAACCUGGAACAUGAAGGACGGUAACGGCGGCAACAAAUGUUUGAGGGUAUCUAAAUUCUUAGUCAAAGAAGAAGCAGAAAGAUCGGUGGCUGAUAUGGAUAACAGAAAAAGAUAACCCACCUAGGGUUUGGAAGUGAGACAGGGAAGUCGAUCGAAAAAAGAAGUGAGCUUCACAAAUUCCAGAAGUAGGAAUUAAUAGGCUUCAUCUCGUUUCCAGAAAAAUGAACGAUUAGCUUGAAGCAGGAAAAGUUCGUCUGGUGGUAGCAAUAGAUGAUUUUGUGGGUUCAUUAGUUGGGAAUUUUGAGGUCUUCUUCUCAACCUGUACCGGCACAGCUUUGAGCGAUUAGGGACGAUCUGCCUCUUUUCAAUCUGCUAUGCUUUUCGCCCCUCAAUCAGUCGAUUGUAAGUGUUGUUGGACCGCGAGAAGUAGUAUUGGAGACUUUGUGAUCGGGUGAGAGAUGGUCUGUAGGAAUUGUUCCAUCUUGUAAACGAUUGAAUGUUCAAAUAGAUGGUGAUUGAAAGAAAUCAGGGUUUGUGAGACAUUGUUGCGAUCGGAAUGAACAACGGGAUGGGGAAUGCAGCUGCAGAUGCCAGCUUGGCCGGAACAGCCAUAAAAAACAGGUGCAUCAAACAGAAACGAUAAUGUAAAAAAAACAGAGUAGCAUAAAGAAAAUAUAGAAGCCUAACGGAGAGAAAUUACCUGGGGAAGAAAAGAACGUACAACGAAAAGCAAAAGCGGCGGAGUUUCAGCGAAGAAGAAUGCGGAAGAAAGAAGAGAGUACAAGAGAGUACCACGUGGAAAGUGAAGGACAGUGAAAAAGACACGUAUAAUCUACAAUGAUUCGUCAGCAACCGGCGGAUGAAG